GACAGAGGAGCCAAGCGUUGUCCGGAUUGACUGGGCGUAAAGAGCUCGUAGGCGGUUCGGCAAGUCAGCUGUGAAAUCUCCACGCUCAACGUGGAGGGGUCAGCUGAUACUGCUGUGACUCGAGUCCGGUAGGGGAGUGUGGAAUUCCCGGUGUAGCGGUGAAAUGCGCAGAUAUCGGGAGGAACACCAGUAGCGAAGGCGGCACUCUGGGCCGGUACUGACGCUGAGGAGCGAAAGCGUGGGGAGCAAACAGG
rnacentral:rRNA from 1 species